CUCUCCGGUGAAUUGCUGCUGUGUGUCGCUCCUUUCCUUUCACCAGCACCACUCUUGAGUUGGUAUGCCUUGAGUGCCCUGGCUCGCCUACUCAGGACUUCGAUAUCUCAUCGCGUCGCCUCCUGUAUCUGCAGGCCGGAGACGGGGAGGAGGCCGACAAUUGGCGCCCGAACAGGGACCUGAAAGACGGUAGAAACUCGGGGCGGAGAACCUCUGCUCAGAGGCACUUGCAAUUCAAGGGCGGGAAAAAGCUCCGAAGAUCGUCAAUCCGAGGACCAACGCUUGAUCUGGCUGCCUAGAAAGUGGAUCAAGAUACGCUAUAAAGAGGAACUCCUAGCAACAUGGCCAUCUGAGAUGGCUGUCCCAGGCGAUGUCCCUCAACCGGUUCCGUCACUGGAGUGAGGAUCCCUACAUGAUAAUGAAGUUUUUGAUUCUAAUCUCUAUACACAUACACAAAGCCCAGGCCUGUAUUAGCAGUACUCCGUACUUUGGCUGUGGAGUAGUACUUCACUGUAUCUCCAUUUGUUCAACUCCUGUAGGCCCGGAUUUGGAAAAAGGAUGGUAAUGAAAUAUAUAGACAGAAAGAUGGAGGAAAACUUGGUAGAGAUAAUGCUACUGAUCAGUCUAAAAGAGACAAUACCCGCUAUGAUAUUUAUAAAACAGUUUUAACCUGGAAAAAUAUUGGCAAUUAUUCUUGUGAAAAAUUCCAGAAGGGAAGCCCUGAUCAAAUAUAUAAAAGUAGUUAUGUUUAUUUGUAUAUUUCACUAACCCCAAGGAAUGAGUAUUCUUCACCCAAUAGGUGGUUGCAAUUGGCUAAUCAAGGGCUUAAUAAGACAUCUUUUUGUAUAGCAAGUGAUUCCUCUAUUAGUGAGAUCUUAAGGAAGAAUUUGAUAGGCAUAGGACUCCCUUUUUCAGUGUUUACUAAUAUUUCUGGAAUAAAUAUUACUUUAGCCCCUAAGGUUAUUACUCGAGAAAUUCAAUUGAAUUUUCCAGUUAGCACCACUAUAGUUUCUAGUUGUAUAUGUAUCAAUUGUACUAAUAUGCCUUCUUACUGUAAUUCUACUAUUCAUGUAAAAUGGCCAUAUGGAUAUAGACUCCCAAAUGGCUGGGUGUUUCUGUGUGAUAACAAAACCUAUCAAGCCUUUUCCUUACAUUAUCAAGACGUCCGUGGUGUAGGAUGUAUUCUCUCAGCCCUUAUAGAUUAUCCUGGAUUUAAACACCGAAGAGUGACCCGAGCCCUGCCUCCAGAUUGUGACAACUUGAAAUUGUUGGACCCGGUUGCUGUUGCAGUCGCAGCUGCGUUUGUAUUGCCUGUACCAGAACUCGUUGUAGGAAUGCAGAAGGAAAUAUCUAAGCUGGCCUGUGCCUACAGCAAGACUGCAGAUCUGACUGCUUCCAUACUGUCAGAAGUUAAUCAGGAACCUGGAGAAGUUCGAGUGGCAGUGCUUCAGAAUCGUGCUACCAUGGACUAUUUGUUGCUGAAAGAACAUUUGGGCUAGGAACAAUUUCCUGGAAUGUGUUGUUUUAAUAUAUCUGAUUUUUAACAGACAAUUCAAAAUCAGUUGGAUGAUAGUCACCAUAUUAUUGAUAAGUUUUCACAAUUACCUGGAUUACCUGAUCGGUUCUCUUGGUUUCACUGGCUAUGGCCAAUACUUGUAGGCUUCCUUCUUUUAUGCAUUUGCCUUCCUGUUUUUAGUAACAUGGGUGCGCCAUCUGAUUGCUGGCUUAAUAAAGCCCAUUCAUGCAUAUGCUGUAUUUCAAGAAGUCAUGGCAAAAAAUUAAUAAUUGCAUGUUAUCUUCUUGAGAGUCCAUGUGACAGAUCACAUAUGUUUUUAAAUUCCGCAGCAAUUAAGGGGAUGACGAAGUGUUUGCAUAAAUCUUUUGUAUGCCUCUUUGCUCUAUCACAUUUACUCCCUGUACGGCCCCAAGAAAUGGCUGGCUAGCCAGAGACGCGUAAGAUUCCUCAUGGGAGGAACAACCUAAGACAGGCACAGUCGCGGGGCCCAACAGGUCGAGAGAUGAGGGGGUCAACUGAGGCGUGGCUUAGCACCUCGCCCCCCCUGACGAGGCAUUUCUUGUCUCCCCUUUUCUUUACACCAAGCUGCCGUGGAAUAACAGACUUCUCUUCCUUUUUAAUUUAAAAACGGGAAAUGUAGGUUGCCAUCCAUAGAUCAUUCUGUUUCUAUGGGAGUUUGCCUUCCUUGUUAUCUGUGGUGCAUGUUGCAGCUCACUAAAUCCAAACCGAGAUCUGUUCCUUGUUAUUUGUACCCCCUCAUUGCCUGGCAACAGGGACGACUUGCCCCAGUGACCUGGGGGCAAUUAUAUUCCUGGAGUAAAGCAUAUUAAUCUUUGUGUCUAGAAACUUGUUAACCCACUCAAGAAUGUGAUACCUGAUCAAUAAAUAUGAGAGGUGCCUUUCCAGCACCACUCUUGAGCUGGUA